rnacentral:rRNA from 1 species
AGAUUGAACGCUGGCGGCAGGCUUAACACAUGCAAGUCGAGCGGUAACAGAGAAUAGCUUGCUAUUCUGCUGACGAGCGGCGGACGGGUGAGUAAUGCUUGGGAAUAUGCCUUUAGGUGGGGGACAACAGUUGGAAACGACUGCUAAUACCGCAUAAUGUCUACGGACCAAAGGGGGGGAUCUUCGGACCUCUCGCCUAUAGAUUAGCCCAAGUGAGAUUAGCUAGUUGGUGAGGUAAAGGCUCACCAAGGCGACGAUCUCUAGCUGGUUUGAGAGGAUGAUCAGCCACACUGGGACUGAGACACGGCCCAGACUCCUACGGGAGGCAGCAGUGGGGAAUAUUGCACAAUGGGCGCAAGCCUGAUGCAGCCAUGCCGCGUGUGUGAAGAAGGCCUUCGGGUUGUAAAGCACUUUCAGUUGUGAGGAAAGGAGUGUAGUUAAUAGCUGCAUUCUAUGACGUUAGCAACAGAAGAAGGACCGGCUAACUCCGUGCCAGCAGCCGCGGUAAUACGGAGGGUCCGAGCGUUAAUCGGAAUUACUGGGCGUAAAGCGUGCGUAGGCGGUUUGUUAAGUGAGAUGUGAAAUCCCGGGGCUCAACCUCGGAACUGCAUUUCAAACUGGCAAGCUAGAGUACUGUAGAGGGUGGUGGAAUUUCCAGUGUAGCGGUGAAAUGCGUAGAGAUUGGAAGGAACAUCAGUGGCGAAGGCGGCCACCUGGACAGAUACUGACGCUGAGGCACGAAAGCGUGGGGAGCAAACAGGAUUAGAUACCCUGGUAGUCCACGCCGUAAACGAUGUCAACUAACUGUCUGUAGACUUGAUCUGUGGGUAGUGAAGCUAACGCGAUAAGUUGACCGCCUGGGGAGUACGGCCGCAAGGUUA